rnacentral:rRNA from 1 species
AGGACGAACGCUGGCGGCGUGCCUAACACAUGCAAGUCGAACGCGCUCCAUUCGGUAGCAAUACUGAUGAAGAGCGAGUGGCGAACGGGUGAGUAGCACGUGAGCAACCUGCCCCGAAGACUGGGACAACACCGGGAAACCGGUGCUAAUACCGGAUAUCCCUAUUGGAUCGCAUGAUCCGAUAAGGAAAUGUUUUUCGCUUCGGGAGGGGCUCGCGGCCUAUCAGCUAGUUGGUGGGGUAACGGCCCACCAAGGCAUCGACGGGUAGCUGGUCUGAGAGGACGAUCAGCCACACUGGGACUGAGACACGGCCCAGACUCCUACGGGAGGCAGCAGUGGGGGAAUCUUGCGCAAUGGGCGAAAGCCUGACGCAGCAACGCCGCGUGGAGGACGAAGGCUUUCUGAGUUGUAAACUCCUUUCAGCAGGGACGAUAGUGACGGUACCUGCAGAAGAGCACCGGCCAACUACGUGCCAGCAGCCG